CAGUCGAGCGGACAGAUGGGAGCUUGCUCCCUGAUGUUAGCGGCGGACGGGUGAGUAACACGUGGGUAACCUGCCUGUAAGACUGGGAUAACUCCGGGAAACCGGGGCUAAUACCGGAUGGUUGUUUGAACCGCAUGGUUCAAACAUAAAAGGUGGCUUCGGCUACCACUUACAGAUGGACCCGCGGCGCAUUAGCUAGUUGGUGAGGUAACGGCUCACCAAGGCAACGAUGCGUAGCCGACCUGAGAGGGUGAUCGGCCACACUGGGACUGAGACACGGCCCAGACUCCUACGGGAGGCAGCAGUAGGGAAUCUUCCGCAAUGGACGAAAGUCUGACGGAGCAACGCCGCGUGAGUGAUGAAGGUUUUCGGAUCGUAAAGCUCUGUUGUUAGGGAAGAACAAGUACCGUUCGAAUAGGGCGGUACCUUGACGGUACCUAACCAGAAAGCCACGGCUAACUACGUGCCAGCAGCCGCGGUAAUACGUAGGUGGCAAGCGUUGUCCGGAAUUAUUGGGCGUAAAGGGCUCGCAGGCGGUUUCUUAAGUCUGAUGUGAAAGCCCCCGGCUCAACCGGGGAGGGUCAUUGGAAACUGGGGAACUUGAGUGCAGAAGAGGAGAGUGGAAUUCCACGUGUAGCGGUGAAAUGCGUAGAGAUGUGGAGGAACACCAGUGGCGAAGGCGACUCUCUGGUCUGUAACUGACGCUGAGGAGCGAAAGCGUGGGGAGCGAACAGGAUUAGAUACCCUG
rnacentral:rRNA from 1 species